CACGUAGGGCGCGAGCGUUGUCCGGAAUUAUUGGGCGUAAAGAGCUCGUAGGCGGCCUGUUGCGUCCGCUGUGAAAGCCCGGGGCUUAACCCCGGGUCGGCAGUGGGUACGGGCAGACUAGAGUGCGGUAGGGGAGAUUGGAAUUCCUGGUGUAGCGGUGGAGUGCGCAGAUAUCAGGAGGAACACCAAUGGCGAAGGCAGAUCUCUGGGCCGUAACUGACGCUGAGGAGCGAAAGCAUGGGGAGCGAACAGG
rnacentral:rRNA from 1 species